CCCCUAGAUGUUCUGGGCCGCACGCGCGCUACACUGAACAGUUCAACAAGUCUUAACCUUGGCCGAUAGGUCUGGGUAAUCUUUGAACGCUGUUCGUGAUUGGGAUAGACCUUUGCAAUUAUGGGUCUUCAACGAGGAAUUCCUAGUAAACGCAAGUCAUCAGCUUGCAUUGAUUACGUCCCUGCCCUUUGUACACACCGCCCGUCGCACCUACCGAUUGAAUGGUCCGGUGAAAUCUCGGGACGGCGGCUUGGUCGCUUGCGUCCGACUGCUGAAACUUAAUUAAACCAUAUCAUUUAGAGGAAGGUGAAGUCGUAACA
rnacentral:rRNA from 1 species